rnacentral:rRNA from 1 species
ACUACGGGAGGCAGCAGUGGGGAAUAUUGCACAAUGGGCGAAAGCCUGAUGCAGCAACGCCGCGUGAGCGAUGAAGGCCUUCGGGUCGUAAAGCUCUGUCCUCAAGGAAGAUAAUGACGGUACUUGAGGAGGAAGCCCCGGCUAACUACGUGCCAGCAGCGGCGGUAAUACGUAGGGGGCUAGCGUUAUCCGGAAUUACUUGGCGUAAAGGGUGCGUAGGUGGUUUCUUAAGUCAGAGGUGAAAGGCUAGGGCUCAACCGUAGUAAGCCUUUGAAACUGGGGAACUUGAGUGCAGGAGAGGAGAGUGGAAUUCCUAGUGUAGCGGUGAAAUGCGUAGAUAUUAGGAGGAACACCAGUUGCGAAGGCGGCUCUCUGGACUGUAACUGACACUGAGGCACGAAAGCGUGGGGAGCAAACAGGAUUAGAUACCCUAGUAGUC